rnacentral:rRNA from 1 species
AGCAGACAAGCAUUUGUCUGCUAUUAUAGGUGGCUUUGGCCAUGAACAUGGAUGGACCUGCGGUGCAUUAGCUGGUUGGUGAGGUAACGGCCCACCAAGGCGACGAUGCAUAGCCGGCCUGAGAGGGCGGACGGCCACAUUGGGACUGAGACACGGCCCAAACUCCUACGGGAGGCAGCAGUAGGGAAUUUUCGUCAAUGGGGGGAACCCUGAACGAGCAAUGCCGCGUGAGUGAGGAAGGUCUUCGGAUCGUAAAGCUCUGUUGUAAGAGAAAAACGGCACUCAUAGGGAAUGAUGAGUGAGUGAUGGUAUCUUACCAGAAAGUCACGGCUAACUACGUGCCAGCAGCCGCGGUAAUACGUAGGUGGCGAGCGUUAUCCGGAAUGAUUGGGCGUAAAGGGUGCGUAGGUGGCAGAUCAAGUCUGGAGUAAAAGGUUUGGGCUCAACCCGUACUGGCUCUGGAAACUGAUCAGCUAGAGAACAGAAGAGGACGGCGGAACUCCAUGUGUAGCGGUAAAAUGCGUAGAUAUAUGGAAGAACACCGGUGGCGAAGGCGGCCGUCUGGUCUGGAUUCUGACACUGAAGCACGAAAGCGUGGGGAGGCAAAUAGGAUUAGAUACCCUAGUAGUCCACGCCGUAACCGAGGAGAACUAGGUGUGGGGGGAAUAACUCAGUGCCGCAGUUAACGCAGUAAGUUCUCCGCCUGGGGAGUAUGCACGCAAGUGUGAAACUCAAAGGAAUUGACGGGGGCCCGCACAAGCGGUGGAGUAUGUGGUUUAAUUCGAAGCAACGCGAAGAACCUUACCAGGCCUUGACAUCUCUUGCAGAGGUAUAGAGAUAUAUCCGAGGUUAUCAAGGAGACAGGUGGUGCAUGGUUGUCGUCAGCUCGUGUCGUGAGAUGUUGGGUUAAGUCCCGCAACGAGCGCAACCCUUGUGAUAUGUUACUAACAUUGAGUUGAGGACUCAUAUCAGACUGCCGGUGAUAAACCGGAGGAAGGUGGGGAUGACGUCAAAUCAUCAUGCCCCUUAUGGCCUGGGCUACACACGUACUACAAUGGCGUCUACAAAGAGCGGCAAGCCUGUGAAGGCAAGCGAAUCUCAUAAAGGACGUCUCAGUUCGGAUUGAAGUCUGCAACCCGACUUCAUGAAGCUGGAAUCGCUAGUAAUCGCGAAUCAGCAUGUCGCGGUGAAUACGUUAUCGGGCCUUGCACACACCGCCCGUCAA